GUCAGGAUGGCCGAGCGGUCUAAGGCGCCAGACUAAAGUUCUGGUCUUCGAUUGGAGGCGUGGGUUCGAAUUCCACUUCUGGCA